UGCCAGCAGCCGCGGUAAUACGGGGGGUGCAAGCGUUAUUCGGAAUUAUUGGGCGUAAAGCGCGUGUAGGCGGCUUGGCAAGUCGGGUGUGAAAUCCCGGGGCUCAACCCCGGAACUGCACUCGAAACUGCCUCGCUAGAGUCCCGGAGAGGAAGGCGGAAUUCCCGGUGUAGAGGUGAAAUUCGUAGAUAUCGGGAGGAACACCAGCGGCGAAGGCGGCCUUCUGGACGGUGACUGACGCUGAGACGCGAAAGCGUGGGGAGCAAACAGGAUUAGAUA
rnacentral:rRNA from 1 species